rnacentral:rRNA from 1 species
UACGUAGGGAGCAAGCGUUGUUCGGAUUUACUGGGCGUAAAGGGCGCGUAGGCGGCGUGUUAAGUCAGCUGUGAAAUCUCUGAGCUCAACUCAGAACGGCCAGCUGAUACUGAUGUGCUAGAGUGCAGAAAGGGCAAUCGGAAUUCUUGGUGUAGCGGUGAAAUGCGUAGAUAUCAAGAGGAACACCUGAGGCGAAGGCGGGUUGCUAGGCUGACACUGACGCUGAGGCGCGAAAGCCAGGGGAGCAAAC